UUUCAAAUUGAGCAGGUAAAUGGUUGUUUGCAAUACUCAGACAAAGUUGUAGAUGGCUUUUACCUAAUCCAUGGGAUGGAUGCAUAUACAUGGACUAUAAGUACCGAUAUGCAGAAUGUUGGUAUGAUUCCAUCAUUUGAAUCACUCAUGUGUGUUAAGCCAUGUGAUGACUCGUCAGUUGUAGUGGUUGCUAUUGAUACGUCUAGAGAUCCUGGAUUGAGAGAACUGCAAAAUGGAGUAUUAACUCUUUCAACUAACUGGGUUACUACCAAAGAUGCAACUGAUCAGCUUGCAAAUCUUGUUUAUAAUAGGAUGGGGGGGGGAUCUUCUGACGAGGAACUUUUAGGUAUACGCUGGAAGGAAUGCACCCAAAUUCUUAAAAGCUGUCUGCAAUCUAUCGUUCUUCCGAUUGGAAGCUUACCUGUUGGCCUUUGUGUCCAUCGAGCAUUGCUGUUCAAAGUGUUAGCGGACUUAAUCAACCUGCCAUGUCGAGUUGCUAAGGGUUGCAAGUACUGUAGAAAGGACACGUGCGCUUCUUGUAUAGUGCAAUUUGGUUCUGACAGGGAGUAUAUGAUUGAUUUAGUAGGAAGGCCUGGGGAAACAUGUCAACCUGAUUCUUCAGUGAAUUCUGCGUCUUCAGUUUUGAUCCCUUCACCAUUAUGUCAUCCAAGGUUCAAGCCAGUUGAAACAGCUGAAUAUACAAAGACAUUAGCCCGACUGUAUUUCUUGGACAGUCAAGCACUGCAUCUUGUAUUUGAUACCACGUCAGGAGAUAGAGUUGAGUGUAGUGACAGAAUGGAUCUACAGCAAACUGAAAUGUUUGGUGCAAGCUAUGCUGGUCGGAACAACCAAAUAGUUGCUUUGAAUCCUGGUACAGAGGAACACAUGUCUUUCAAUGAAGCAAACCAGUCAGAAGUGAAUUAUUCAAGUCGUGAGGAGGAGGAUCUGGACAUUCCAUGGAGUGAACUUAUUCUGAAGGAAAACAUUGGGACAGGGUCAUUUGGAACAGUUCUUCGUGCGGACUGGCGUGGCUCUGAUGUUGCUGUGAAGAUACUUAAGGUGCAAGGUUUUGAUUCUGAACGAUUUGAAGAAUUUCUGAAUGAGGUCACACUCAUGAAGCGCCUUCGUCAUCCAAACAUUGUACUUCUAAUGGGUGCCGUAAUCCAACCGCCAAAAUUAUCAAUUGUAACAGAAUAUUUAUCAAGAGGCAGCUUGUAUGAACUUCUGCAGAUGCCAAGUAUUGGAUCUUCAAUCAGCGAGAAGCGUCGUCUAAGUAUGGCAUGCGAUGUGGCAAGUGGAAUGAAUUAUCUUCAUCAAAUGAAGCCUCCCAUUGUUCAUAGAGAUUUGAAGUCUCCAAAUCUUUUGGUUGAUGAUUCAUACACUGUUAAGGUAUGUGACUUUGGCCUCUCACGUUCAAAAGCAAAUACAUUUCUUUCAUCUAAAACAGCUGCUGGAACUCCUGAAUGGAUGGCACCAGAAGUUAUCAAAGGUGAACUAUCGAAUGAAAAAUGUGAUGUAUUCAGCUUUGGUGUAAUCUUGUGGGAACUGGUGACCCUUCAACAACCAUGGAGGCAAUUAAAUCCUUCACAGGUUGUUGCAGCUGUUGGUUUUAUGGACAAAAGGCUUGAAAUUCCAAGGCACGUGAAUCCUCAAGUGGCUGCCUUGAUUGAGCUCUGCUGGUCUACGGAACCAAGGAGGCGGCCUUCUUUCUCCUAUAUUAUGAAAUGUUUGCAGCAAAUAAUUGCCGAUGCUGAAGUGUGAACAAGUCCAUGCAGAGGAACAUUUACUACUAUACAGAUGAUAAAUAGUAUUAUUCUACAAUAUUAUACAUGGAUUGCAGUUUAUUCAGUUGACAGGGAUCUUGCUGAAGAUCUUAAUUAUGCUGCUGAUUGAUAGAAGAGCAACCUACCUUUUAAUGUUAUAUAUGAUAUAUACUUAUCAUCAUUACCCACAAUGUCAUUUCUAUACUAAUAUUUGCUUUUGGCUGUAUAUAUGAUGAUCAAAUUCACUUUGGGGUUCUGGUUUAUAUUUAUAAUAAUUCUUUUGAUUGUUCUUUU